rnacentral:rRNA from 1 species
CCUACGGGAGGCAGCAGUGAGGAAUAUUGGUCAAUGGGCGGGAGCCUGAACCAGCCAAGCCGCGUGAGGGAAGAAGGUACAGCGUAUCGUAAACCUCUUUUGUCAGGGAACAGAGGCGUGGACUAGUCCCCGGAUGAGGGUACCUGAAGAAAAAGCAUCGGCUAACUCCGUGCCAGCAGCCGCGGUAAGACGGAGGAUGCGAGCGUUAUCCGGAUUUAUUGGGUUAAAAGGGUGCGCAGGCGGCCCGUUAAGUCAGCGGGAAAAGCCCGGGGCUAAACCCCGGCGAGCCGUUGAAACUGGCGGGCUGGAGUUGGAGAGAAGUACGCGGAAUGCGAGGUGUAGCGGUGAAAUGCGUAGAGAUCGCGCAGAACCCCGAUUGCGAAGGCAGCGUACCGGCUCCACACUGACGCUGAGGUACGAAAGCGUGGGUAUCGAACAGGAUUAGAUACCCCAGUAGUC